rnacentral:rRNA from 1 species
UGGGGAAUAUUGGACAAUGGGCGCAAGCCUGAUCCAGCCAUGCCGCGUGAGUGAUGACGGCCUUCGGGUUGUAAAGCUCUUUUGUCCGGGAAGAUAAUGACUGUACCGGAAGAAUAAGCCCCGGCAAACUUCGUGCCAGCAGCCGCGGUAAUACGAAGGGGGCUAGCGUUGUUCGGAUUUACUGGGCGUAAAGCGCACGUAGGCGGCUUGUUAAGUCAGAGGUGAAAGCCUGGAGCUCAACUCCAGAACUGCCUUUGAUACUGGCAGGCUCGAGUAUGGAAGAGGUUGGUGGAACUCCGAGUGUAGAGGUGAAAUUCGUAGAUAUUCGGAAGAACACCAGUGGCGAAGGCGGCCAACUGGUCCAUUACUGACGCUGAGGUGCGAAAGCGUGGGGAGCAAACAGG